AGAAUCAACGCUGGCGGCGUGCCUAACACAUGCAAGUCGAACGAGAAAGUGGGAGCAAUCCCACGAGUAAAGUGGCGCACGGGUGAGUAACACGUGAUUAACCUACCCUUGAGUGGGGGAUAACCUAGGGAAACCUGGGCUAAUACCGCAUAAUACCUACGGGUCAAAGGAGCAAUUCGCUUAAGGAGGGGGUCGCGGCAGAUUAGUUAGUUGGCGGGGUAAUGGCCCACCAAGACAGUGAUCUGUAUCCGGCCUGAGAGGGCGCACGGACACACUGGAACUGAAACACGGUCCAGACUCCUACGGGAGGCAGCAGUGGGGAAUUUUGCGCAAUGGGGGAAACCCUGACGCAGCAACGCCGCGUGGAGGAUGAAGCCCCGUUGGGGCGUAAACUCCUUUCGAUCGGGAAGAUAAUGACGGUACGGAAGAAGAAGCCCGGCUAACUCGCGCCAGCAGCCGC
rnacentral:rRNA from 1 species